GACUGCGUCGCUUAGUGGUUAGAGCAUCUCGUUGUGGUUCUUGUCCCGAGAAGACGGGUGUUCGAUUCACCCCGCGGUCA